GCCCCUCGAAAUCGCCAGAUUUCGAGAUGUAGCCUUCCAAGCUCAUGGCCCGGGUUCAAAUCCCGGCCGGCGCA
rnacentral:tRNA from 1 species